ensembl:lncRNA
ACCGAAAGUCCUUCUCCAUAGUUACCCCGAACUCCUCCCAUACUCGCUGCUUUGCCUCCAUCACGGCAGAGGCUGCUGCCCUUCGAGCCUGUCGGUACACUGCAACUGCCUCUGGAGUCCCACCGGAUAUCAUAACCCGGAAGGCCUCCUUCUUCAGUCGGACGGCUUCCCUGACCACCGGUGUCCACCACGGAGUUCGAGGGUUACCGCCCCUUGAUGCACCUAAGACCUUGAGGCCACAACUCACCGCCGCGGCUUCAGCAAUGGAGGUUUUGAACAUAGACCACUCUGGUUCAAUGUCCCCUACCUCCACAGGAAUGUGAGAGAAGCUCCGCCGGAGGUGUGAGUUGAAAAUCUUUUGGACCGGGGCCUCCUCCAGACGUUCCCAGUUCACCCUCACUACACGCUUGGGUUUACCGGGUCUGUCCCGAGUCUUCCUCCAUCCUCUGACCCAGCUCACAACCAGAUGGUGAUCAGUUGACAGCUCUGCCCCUCUCUUUACCCGAGUGUCCAGAACAUGCGGCCUCAGAUCAGACGAUACGAUUACAAAAUCGAUCAUUGAUCUUUGGCCUAGGGUGCUCUGGUACCACGUACACUUAUGAACAUCCUUAUGUUCGAACAUGGUGUUUGUUAUGGACAAUCCGUGACUAGCACAGAAGUCCAGUAACAAACACCCGCUCGGGUUCAGAUCAGGGAGGCCAUUCCUCCCAAUCACGCCUCUCCAGUUAUCUCCAUCGUCGCCCACGUGCGCAUUGAAGUCUCCCAGUAGGACUAUGGAGUCCCCUACAGGAGCCCCAUGCAGGACUCCAUUCAGGGUCUCCAAAAAGGCCGAAUACUCUGAGCUGCUGUUUGGUGCAUAUGCACAGACAACAGUCAGAGUUUUCCCCCCCACCACCCGAAGGCGUAGGGAGGCGACCCUUUUGUCCACUGGGGUAAACUCCAAUGUAGCAGCACUCAGCCGGGGACUUAUGAGUAUCCCCACACCCGCCUGGCGCCUCACACCAUGGGCCACUCCGGAGUAGAAUAGAAGCCGAGGCUGUGCGUAGAGGUAAGCCCCACCAGAUCCAACUGAUAACGCUCCACCUCCCGCACAAGCUCCGGCUCCUUCCCCCCCAGAGAGGUUACGUUCCACGUCCCCAGAGCCAGCAUCUGCUGCCCAGGUCUGUUCCGUCUAGACCCCCCACUGUCACUGCCACCCUUGUAGCAGCGCACCCGACCCCAUCGGUUUCCUCCACAGGUGGUGAGCCCAUGGGGAGUAGAGUGUUGGGCUGCCGCGUCACUCCUUCGGGCUGUGCCCGGCCGGGCUCCGCGGUAAACCCGGCCACCAGACGCUCGCUGUCGGGCAAAAUACAAAAUUUAUAUAUAUAUAUAUAUA